rnacentral:lncRNA from 1 species
CAGUGACAAAGCCAACAAUCCUUUCAUAAAAUGUUUCUUUUAUUGCAUCCAAAAAUAGAAAAUCAUUUGAUGUAAACUAAGAAAAUGCAUAACAACAUAUAAACAAGAUCUCGACAAGGUAACAAUCCCUAUGUCUCGGCACUUGACAUGUUCGAUUCUACAGGACAUACUGACAGAAAAGGAAGGUCACAAAUAUGAAUUGGCCAUGAAAUAAUACACCCUGUUAUGCACUGCACGAGUCAUAGAAAGAGAAAGCAGAUUCACAUAAUUUCACAGAAAAUCAUAAAUUAUAGAAUCAAUCCUCUCCACUUUUCCUCUUUGCAAAUUUUUAGCCC